AUGCCUAGAUCCAGCGGUGUGGGAUUUCGAAUCUGUUCCCCAGCCACCAUGGAGGAACGGAGGGGGAGAUUCCGGAACUUAACCACCCUUCGUCAAAGGGGGAGUGAGGUGGGUGGCCUGGCGCAAGUGUUUUGGACCAUGGCAGUUGGGCUAGGUUAUAAUGAGGCAGCACUGAAAGACUUAUUCAACAAUUGCCUAGAUGAUCCUUUGCCUCAAUGGGAGAUGAUGGGGCUGGAGAUCCUGGACUUUUGGGGUUUUACUAAUUACCUGCACCAUCGUGCUCGGUGGGAUACAUCGGCUGAUCCAGCGCCACAGCACAAGAUGGCCGCCAGCCCGGCGCCACAGCACAAGAGGGCCGCCAGCCCUGCGCCACAGCACAAGAGGGCCGCCAGCCCUGCGCCACAGCACAAGAUGGCCGCCAGCCCAGCGCCACAGCACAAGAUGGCCGCCAGCCCAGCGCCACAGCCCAAGAUGGCCGCGGAGACAGUAUUAAGUUACUUUUCCAGGAUGUGCCAGAUCCCAGAGUUUCCCGGGAGUGUUCACAUCACUGCCGCUGAGCCAGCGCCAAUGGCCAAGAUGGCCACCAGCGCAGCGCCACAGCACAAGAUGGCCGCCAGCCCAGCGCCACAGCACAAGAUGGCCGCCAGCCCAGCACCACUGCACAGGAUGGUCGAAUCUACACCUGUGUUGGCAGACAAGAUGGUUGACUCAACGCCUGAGUCUUCCGUCAAGGAGCCACCGGCACGUCAUCAUAGAGGCCGCAGGAGGAGGAGACAGGCGUCAGCCGUUCCUCAAAGCCCGGAGGACGUUCCCGAGCAGGCCGCUGCCGUCCAGGAGGACGUUCCCGAGCAGGCCGCUGCCGUCCAGGAGGACGUUCCCGAGCAGGCCGCUACCGUCCAGGAGGACAUUCCCGAGCAGGCCGCUGUCGUCCAGGUGGACGUGUCCAAGGUUCCCGAGGCGGUCCCGGAUGCAAUGACCGAGGCGGUGCCCGAGGCGGUGGCCGAGGCUGUGCCCGAUGCCGAGGCUGUGCCCGAUAUCGAGGCGGUGACCGAUGCCGUUCCGGAGGCCGAGGCUGUGCCCGAUGCCGAGGCGGUGACCGAUGCCGUUCCGGAGGUCGAGGCAGUGACCGAUGCUGUUCCGCAGGUCGAGGCGGUGCCCGAGGCUGUGCCCGAUGCCGAGGCUGUGCCCGAUGCCGAAGCGGUGCCCGAGGCUGUUCCGGAGGCCGAGGCGGUGCCCGAGAUGGUUCCGGAGGCCGAGGCGGUGGCCGAUGUUGUUCCGGAGGCCGAGGCGGUGGCCGAUGUUGUUCCAGAGACCGAGGCGGGGCCCGAUGCUGUUCCGGAGGCUGCUCCCAGGGCGGUGCCCGAGGUCGUGCCCGAGGUCGUUCCCGAGGCGGUGCCCGAACCCGAGGUCAUUCCCGAGGUGAUACCCGUGUCCAAGGCCGUUCCCGAGGCGGUGCCCUUGUCCAAGGGCGUUCCCGAGGCGGUGUCCAAUGCCGUGACCUGGCCAUCGCCACAGUCUGCUCCUCACUGGCUCCCCGAAUGGCAGGUUCCGUUCGGGCCACUCAAAUGGCGAAUUCCUCCCUGGCCAUCUGCACAACGAGAAUGGACUGAUCCACCGUGGCCACCUGAACUGCCUGGUCCCUCGUGGUCCCCUGAACUUUCGGGUCCACCAUGGCCCCCUGAUCUGACCGAGCCACCUGGGCUGCCAGGGGAGCCAUCGCUGCCGGUCCCAGUUCCCCUACACGGGCCUGGCCCGCCAUCCCUCCCCCUGUUCUGCCUCCACCAGUCCACCUCCCUCCUGGUCUCUUUGUUUUGGGUUUGGUUUGUUCUGAGGAGCAUCUAGAAGCUGCUCCUUAGAGGGGGGGUAGUGUCACGGUGUCUGGUUUGUGUAUCCCUGGGUGUCCACUAGAGGUCUCACUUCCCCUGAUUGUCACCCCCUUCUGAACUACAUUUCCCACUAGCCUUAUCUGUUCAUCACUGUUCAUUGUGUUCAGCUGUCACCACUUACCUUGUUUGCACCUGUCUAUAAAUACCCUGGUUGUUUCUGUCAUUGUUACGGAGUCCUUGUUGCAUGUCACCCUGCUUUUUCCUGGUUCCCUAGUGGAUGUUCGUGUUUCGUGUUUUGGACUGUUUAUGUUUGGUUUUGACCCCUGUCUGGACUGUUUAUGAUUUUGGAUUACCCGUUAAUAAACACUGCAUUUGGAUCUACCUGUCUGUGUGCGUUUCGUGACAAGAUUAAAGUAAUUAUUACGUUUUGAAUAUGAAUAUUUUUCUUACAAAAUCGCAUCAAGGAUUUACGGUGUGUGUGACACACGUGUUCACGGUGUGUGUGUGUUCCCUACUCACUAUUGUGUGUGUGCUUGGAUGGGUUAAAUGCAGAGCACCAAUUCAGAGUAUAAGUUACCAUACUUGGCAAAAUGUCACAACUUUCAGGAGGCCUUUGUUCACCCCCCGGAGCCGUGUGAGACACUUUUUUUAUGGAAGGGCGCUUUUUAUUUCACGUCUUUUGGACUGAAGCAAUGCAACACCCGCUGACUCCAAUGACAGAGCUUGAAAGAUCAAAGAAUAACUCUGACUGGAUUCGUUUGAAAGAAGAAAGUCAUAUACACCUAGGAUGCCUCGGGGGUGAGUAAAACACACCCUAAUUUUCAUUUUUGGGUGAACUAACCCUUUAAAAAGUCUUAAAUUGUACAAGAAAGUCUUAAAUAUGAUUUCAAGAGGUCUUAAAUUUGGGGACAGAAAGACCAGAAUUGCGAUAUGGCUGAAUGUGACAAAUAAACUUCAAAAGGCUAACGGUAUGAUUUCAUUAAAUAAACAGGAGUGCUGCAUGUUCAAAGUCCGGUGCUGCUGCUUUGUGUUCUGCCGUUACAGGGGAAACAGUUAUAUUUCUACCAAACGCUCCACCUGCUGGCAGAGAAAGCAAACACAAAAGACACCUACAGAGUGCAUGUAUACAUUAGGUGAUGAAGUCUAGCAGGUUAGACUAGUGCACAUUUAGAGUGUGUUCUUUCACUGCAUGACUUAGUCUAUUAAAAUGUAUUUAGAAUUAUCACAUAAUUCAUGAGGCAGAAAAUGUAUAUAUUUGUAUAAUUUCAUAUAGUUAAUAUCACACGAAGAGUGCCAUUUUUUUUCUCCAAAAGUAAGCAUGAUUACAAAUGUGAUAUUGAUUUUAUACAACAGUGAACAAUAAACAAGUAGUUAAUAUUAAGAGACUUAUGUUUUAGACACCAUAUUUCCUGUUUUUGCAGGAAACAAAAAUAAAAAAAAAUUUCUCCAACAAAAAUAAUUUAGAACAGCCACAGGACACUGUUUUUCCUGAGGGAAUCACCUGUUUAAAUGAUUCAGUUCCAACGCAAUGACUCACUUAUUAACAGUGCCUUCCUGCCAUCUACUGGCGAUUUUAAUUUCACAUUUAAGGUACCUUUUCGUUUUUUUUUUAAAUAAUUUUAAACAUCAGUUUUCAAUGUUUUAUGUUUAAAAUAUCAAAACAUUAUUUAUGCAUUUGUAAUUGUAGGUUAAAGUAUUUAGUGUCCCUCAGAGCUGAAUUAAAUGUGUAAAUGCAUCUAAAUGACACUUCUAAUGCAGUUUUUUGUGCAUUCCUUUGCAUUGCAAAGAAA
ensembl:lncRNA